rnacentral:lncRNA from 1 species
AGCGUCUAUACAUUUUAAUUGUAAACAUGGCAUUUUGAAAAACUAAACUUAAAAUAUUAAUUGCAUAUAAUCACAGCAGUUUUAAAACAGAUUCUAAAUCAUAAUGCAUAGUUUGUAAAAUUUCUAGCAGCAUUGCAUAAAUGACAAAAUCAAUAAGAAAGAAUAACAAAUAAAACCAUUGACUCUAAUAAAUAAAUACACAAUUUUUCCUGAAAAAAAAUACAAGACUUUCCCUGAAUGGAUUUAUUGUGUGAGGUUAUCGAAAACUUGAGUCACUCUUAUUGGCUUAUCAUCAGCCUUAGAAAAUAUUACAAAAAUAAUAUGUAAACAAACAGAUAAAACAAAUCAAAAUCAACAAACAAGACUAGAAAAAUGUAAAAUAAUAUAUAAUAAAAAUAUAUGGCACAAUAGAUAUCAAAAUGCUUUGGAAAAGUCCUGUUUUACCAGUGGCAAAUAUAUAAGAACAUGACAUGGUUUAAUAAUGGCGGGACUUUAGUUCAAAUUAAACAGUUUAAAUAAUUGGCAGUAAUUGAGACAUUUACAGGUAAAAUACACAACUUUUGAAAGUAAAACAUGAGAUAGAUAAUGGUCUACUUAUAUAAUAAUUAAAUAGUAAAUUAUGAGACAGCUAUGCAUGGUAUAGUGAUUUUCUGUAUCUCUCUUUUUUAUUUUCAUUUUUACCCUGCCCUGCUUUUGUCUACAACCCUGUGUUAUCAUCUGUUUACAUAUUAACUUUCAUGUAACUGGUAGUGACAUUUAUUUUCAACAUUAAUAUGUUACUUUCGAUCCUCUUUGGUUUUAUCAUCUCUUCAAUAUUUGUAUAAGUUUUUGGAUUUUUAAAUAAUUUUGCCUACAGUAUCUGGUGAGGACGGUUUAAAAAAAACUUUUCUGUAUAAAAUUUGGAAAUUUAAGAUAGAAAAGCAGCAAUACCUAUGAACAUUUCAUUGAAAUGUGUUAACAAGAUUUAAAUACAAUGCAAGAUGUAUUUUAUCUAUUUUUUGCAAAUACACACCAGGCAUGGGGUAAUCAUAAUCAGCUGUAAUCGAUUACAUAUUGUAGUGUAAUCAUUUGUAAUCAGUAAUCAUGCCAUUUCUGAUUACAAGUUAUAAGUAAUCAUGCCAUUUCUGAUUACAAGUAAUCAAAAUGUAAUCGAUUACAUUGCAAAAAAAAAGUGUAAUCGUGAUUACUUUUAGAUAAC